rnacentral:rRNA from 1 species
UACGUAGGGUGCGAGCGUUGUCCGGAAUUACUGGGCGUAAAGAGCUCGUAGGUGGUUUGUCACGUCGUCUGUGAAAUUCCGGGGCUUAACCUCGGGCGUGCAGGCGAUACGGGCAAUACUUGAGUGCUGUAGGGGAGACUGGAAUUCCUGGUGUAGCGGUGAAAUGCGCAGAUAUCAGGAGGAACACCAAUGGCGAAGGCAGGUCUCUGGGCAGUUACUGACGCUGAGGAGCGAAAGCAUGGGGAGCAAACAGGAUUAGAUA